GCCUGGGUGGCUCAGUUGGUUAAGCGUCUGACUUGGGCUCAGGUCAUGAUCUCAUGGUUUGUGAGUUCGAGCCCCGCAUCGGGCU
rnacentral:tRNA from 1 species